ensembl:lncRNA
UAUAGCCACACCUGCAGCCGUCAACCCCCAUACAACAGAGGCGGUAUAAAGCGAUGAUAUUAAUUUCUAAAUGUUUUUGAUCAAGGUUAAUCUAUUAAUGGCACGGGGCUUAUAAUUAUAAUCAGAUGAUCAACGUAUAGGAUAAACCGUGCUGGCAUAUGCCUAUACCCCCUGGUGGCUGAUGUUGCUGUUAUAUUGGUUGUCAAUUCCCCCCCAAAGGAGGGAAGUGAGGAGCUGUGUGUGGGCGGGUAAGAUCCGUAUGAAACGGCGAAUCAAUACUUUAUUAUGCCUCUAAGAGCUCCGCAAUCUGUCCUGAGCGCACUAGCUGACCGGGGGUUAGUUGGUUUUCUGUUGUGUAAACUAAAAGUGGCUACCUGCACACUCGGAAAUCGUGAACUUUCUUUGCACUCUGCCGGCGCCUAGCACUCGGUUCUGCAUGUCUUGGGGCAGGCUUAGAGACGGCGCACACCGACGGGACAUACGGAGUGAGACGGAUGCAUGCAAAGUGGCAGCUGAGCUGAAGCCACAUUUGCUGCACAUUUAAAUCGUACCACCACGUACCACGUUUGGCACAAUAACGGCUGACUUGAACGCACAGCAUGGGCGGAGAACCCCCUGGAGGGAGCAGCAGCAGCAGCGUCGGCGAAAGUGGACAGGAGCAGUACCAGGCUUUAGCCUUCGACACCGCCGUCAGUACUCUAGUGGCUGUAGCCGUGUACGUGGUGGUCAAAGUCAGCCUGGACGGCUUCAGACAGUGGCGCUCCAAGAUCUCCGUGUUAAUAGUGGGCUCGGGACCGAUCGGCCUGACCGCAGCGUUGGUCGCUGUCCGCUCGGGGAAGGUGCUGAAGCUGACAGUGCUCGACGAGCGGUGCCGGAGCGCCCUGCUCUGCCGGCCCCAGCAGAUCGCCCUGGACCCCCGCAGUGUGGGGUUUCUGCUGGGGUUAGGGGUGGACUUUGAUAAUAUGGAGGGGUGCUGGCACAACGAGCACUUUUUCACCAAGAUCGGGGUGUUUCAGGAGUAUUUGUUGAGCAUCUUGGAGCAGAAGAAGCAGAAGGUCGACGUCCGUGUACAGCUGGGAACCAAGUUCACCGAGGAGUACCUGCACCGCCUCCCCCGGCCCCAGUGGCCCCGGGUGCUGGUGGUGGCCGACGGGUCCUGCGGGGACUCCUGCUCCGUGCUGGGCAUCAGCUCCGACUACGCGGUGGAGUCCUGCCGGGCCUACGGCGCCAACGCCACCAUAGAGAGGCUGGACCAGAGACAGGUGCCCACCCCAGAGAUCCGGGCUCACCGGCUCUACUUUGACCUGUCGGCCUACGGGGUAGAAGCGCUCCGGGACCACAAGAACCACGCCUCCAAGCCCGGCUUCCACCUGAAGAUCUACGGAACCUUGCGGAGCCGCUACAUGGCGCUGGUGUGCCCGGCCUCCGACACCAAGAUGGUGCGCUUCCUGUGUCACACCGCCAACGCCUCGAUCAUGAAGAACAUCUUCCACCAGUCCUUCAACGCCUACAAGACGGACAUCGAGCCGCGGCUCAGCGACCUCACGCUGCACCGCCUUCAGUGCAGCCGGCGCCUCUUCGAGGUGCAGCUGUCGCACCGCCAUGUCAGCGCGGCCUACAUCCAGGGGGACAACGUGGCCGUCACCGUGGAGGGCGAGGCCGCCCGCGUCCUCAACUUCGACACAGGUUGUGGUGUGAAUCUGGGCAUGCGCGGUCUUGAGUCUCUGAAAACGUUUAUCUACAAGACGGCCACAGCUGUCGAUCAGAACGACGUUCUAGAAGCGCUGGCCGCUAAAAUCAAACACUCCCGGCAAGUAUCAGAGACCUUCAAGCAGACGGGCCUGUUAGAGUCCAUGUACGAGUAGGCCUCGAAGCUUGUGAAGAACCAAUAUCGCCACCUUGUGGUGAGAUGAGUGCUACUGCACUACAAUGUUGAUAAAAUGUCUUUACCAGUGCUGUGAUGAGUCUUAUGUUUACUGAAUCGAAAUAUGGGUAAAAAAUAUUAUUAUUAUACAGCAUAACAUACAACCAAUGGACUGCAAUUAUGUGGCGCUCUCCUAAAAUGGCCACUCAUAGCGCUUUACAAUUAUUGCGUAAUAUUCACCCAUUCAUACACACAUUUACGGUUUCACCAAAGGAAAGCUCGUCGGGAGCAGUCGGGGUGAGGCGUCUUGCUCAGGGACACCCCGACACUCAAGUCAAGUCAACCCGCUGGAACUCUUGAGCUACUGCCGCCCAACCGGGUUAGUUAAGAGACAUUAACCAACAGUUCAUCACAACUAAAAAUAUUUUCGUAAAAGAAUGUCAAGAUUAGCAGCCUUUUUCUUUUUUUGAUCCCAAUAGCAGCAAUUGUAAUUUUUUUAUUUAUUUUUUUAUUCAUUGUUCAACUAUGUUGGGGAACCUUUGUAUAGUCACUGUUUAUACACUGUCUUGAUGUUGCUCCGCUUAAAUAAACUGUCAUUGUGCUAUGCUUUUCUUAGUCACAGAUUAGAAAAAUGCAGUUUCAGGUGUUGAUGUAAUAAUUACACACUGGCCAGACAUUUAUUUGGGUUAGGAUUAGGUUAGAUAAAAUGUUCAGCAGAUCUAAAGGUGUUUUCAUUGCAGGUGUGCACCAGUUGGUGCUAUAUAAAUGGUACCUAGUUCCUAUAUAGGUCCUAUAUAUGGGACCAGAUAAUAUAUAUCUAAGUUGCAUUUAUGAGUCCUUAUAAUGGCUGGGGUCAGAGGUUAAAGUGCCACAAAAUAACUUGUCAGUGCCAGUCAUCCGAAUAAAACAAAGAUGAAGAUUGUAUUAUUUCUAUGAAAUCGGUUUAUUUGUUUAAUAAAAUUAUUUUCAGCCAUAUAUGCAUCCUUAUUUGUGUGUGGACAUUGAUCGAACAUGGGUUGUUUAUGUGGAUAAAGUUCAGCAAGAACAAUUGAUACCUUCGGUAGAUUUUUUAGUCCAAUUCCUCCACUGAAAAGGGUGGAAAGUGCUUACAACUCUCUGCUAGUUAGCGAUCUAUGACACUGUUGUUUUUUAAUUGGUCGUCUUGAAAAAAAACAUAAGGGGUAACACUGUUGUUUUUUAUUGGCCGUCAUGAAAAAAACAAAAGGGGUAACACUGUUGAUAUUUAUCAAAUAAAACAUAGGGGGUAACACUG